AUUGAACGCUGGCGGCAUGCUUUACACAUGCAAGUCGAACGGUAACAGGUUAAGCUGACGAGUGGCGAACGGGUGAGUAAUGCAUCGGAACGUGCCCGAUCGUGGGGGAUAACGCAGCGAAAGCUGCGCUAAUACCGCAUACGAUCUGCGGAUGAAAGCGGGGGACCGUAAGGCCUCGCGCGAUCGGAGCGGCCGAUGUCAGAUUAGGUAGUUGGGGGGGUAAAGGCCCACCAAGCCGACGAUCUGUAGCUGGUGUGAGAGGACGACCAGCCACACGGGGACUGAGACACGGCCCAGACUCCUACGGGAGGCAGCAGUGAGGAAUGUUGGACAAUGGGCGAAAGGCUGAUCCAGCAAUGCCGCGUGCAGGAAGAAGGCGUUCGGGUUGUAAACCGCUGUUGUACGGAGCGAAAAGGUCCUUUCUAAUACAAGGGGCUCAUGACGGUACCGUAAGAAUAAGCACCGGCUAACUACGUGCCAGCCGCCGCGGUAAAAC
rnacentral:rRNA from 1 species